CAACCGGUAAUUAACGGCUUCUAUUUACGCGAUUAACAAACAUUUAAGUCGAUAAUAAAUAGUGUUUAAGGCACGAAUUAACUUAAUUAGGCUCUCGGUAUGCCUAGGAACGCUUAUCCGACGUUACAAUACGCGUAUGACGAUUUUCAGAAGAUCUGCGGCACAAUAUACGAUAACUAAUUGACACCGAACGAAAUACUGACAACGCCGACCAAUACGAAUUUUAUACGCAUAAUUAAAACAUAUGAAGUUGGUUUGGCGAAAUUUUCAUGCUCUUGAACGACACAAAACGCGUAUGCGAACGAAAAACGCGAUAGUAGGGACGCACCAAUAACGAAAUGGAACACCGGACGCGAGUUACGUCUCGACAUUAAUAUAUUAUGAUAUAUAUGAUUCGCUUUCGAACUUUUAAACUCACGGUUGAAACCGUAGCGAAAAAAAAAAAAAGAAAACAACUAGAUGCAACGACCGUCGUGAAAUACGCGAUUCUUUUUUUUCGUAACCGACAAAUCCAGGCUAUCAUUCGUACAAACCCGAAUCUCACACACAUUGUGAUCUCACGAUUUAGACUAAAUUUAUAUAGGCUAGGUCGUUCCAUGCCAUACAAAAGUCCAUUUUUUUUUUCAUUUGAAGUUAGUAGAUACACAACUGAGUUUGAGAAACUUGCGGGCACGCAAUAUUUGAUUCAACCGAACAAACAUGAACGUUGGUGAUAUUUAACAAAAUACUAGGAAGCGUUUAACAAAAUAUUUGUAUGCAUAAUAUAUAUAAUUAUAUGCAUUUAAAUAUGGUUUUGGGAGUAUAUAUAUACAUGCAUAUGGAUUAUAUAUUAAUGAUUACUAAAGAAAAUGUGAAACAAAGAAAACCAAACAAAUUCUCCAACAUGUGUUCGUUGGAGUUAAAAUUGAAAAAAAAGUUAAAUAAAGUAAAUUAAUUAAUUAAUAUAAGAAAAUGGAACAAAAGAAAAGAUAUGUAGUGUUUGAAAGUAAAAAAAAAAAAAAAGAAAAGCAUACUGCUUCAAAUCUUUACCCAUACCGAUUACCAUAUCUUUCUAAAGUUUUCUUUUCGUGUACGCAUGCUAGUAUGGCUCCAUUUACCAACUUGUUUGAUUAAAUGACCCUUGGUUACAUAUAUGAGGUUACUAGCCUCACUUCAAUCAAGACCUUAUCAUAACUUUGAAAACUCAUAUCAAAAUACACGCACAAACAUCUGCUUUAUCUUUCCCUCCCAUGUCUCUUCUUCCUCAAGACAUUAUUCCCAUUCCUUCUCCUUUUAAACCUCUGCAAACAAAAUCAAAUAUACACACAAAACAUGGAGGGUCAUCUCUUCAUAAACAAAAUUCCACCACACACCUCUCAACACCUUCACAGGCGACGGAUGAGGACGCGCCGGUGGCGGUGAAACAGAGCGACGACACAGCCCCCCCCCCUUCGUUCAUUAAUGGCGACGAACCGGUGACGGGUAUGGAACCCGUUUUCCGGCGAUGUACAACUCGGGUAGAGAGACGGAGAGAUCGAGAGGAGAAAGAGACAGGAUGGCGGGUAUUUUUGGACGGCGACAGCACCGCCGUACACGGCGGCGACUCGGUUACCCUUUACCGACGAGUGGUUCUGCUUGAGUUUCGGGUUCUGGUCAAGUUCGGUCAACAAGUCAGCGGGUACGAUCAACACAAGUCAACCGGACAAGCUCAGUCGACCGUCGAGUCAACUGGUCAAAGCCAACCAACCCGGUCAACUCAUUAGGUUCGGGUCAACUCGGUCAAACCGAGUUGACUCGUUCAACACUCAGUCAACUCAGUUCAGACUUGGUUCGGUUCACGUCAGUUAUGUUUGGGUUCACGUCGGGUCAGAUUCGGUUUCGGGCCUCAGUCAAAACAUGUCAGCAAAAGUCAAUCGGUCAAAGAAGGUCAACGCAGUCAACACUCGGUCAACUGUCGGGUCAAAGACGGUCAACCCCAGACCGGAAUGUCAUAGGUGCACGCUAGCUAAUUCAUGUUCUUGGAACGACACUACGGAAUCACGCUAGGCGAUGAUUGCACAUGGAAGUCCAGGUGAGUUCAUAACCCCCUCACUUUUUACGGUUUUACAUUUUUAUAAAUGUUUUCGGGGGUGGAAAGACAUGCAAGUUUUUGCAAAAGCAAACACUAUUUCGAUAAACGAAAACACAUAUUUAUAAACCAUGUUGCAAAUGAAUUUCAACGAACUCGAAAGGUUUACAAAAGGUUUAUACUAAACAUACCGGUUUUACAAAACAAACGCGUAUUUUCGCAAACGUGCAUGAUUUUCAUAACUAGUGACGAGAAGGUCCUAGUGACAACAACGGGACUGAGUUGGCCUGCGUACGAAAAACGAGACAACUCAGUGAGAUCAUGUUCCCCUUUUCUUUCAAUGUUUUGGUUUACAACUUUCGGGGGAAAUACAUGUCAAACUUAGGUAUGAUUAAGUUAUGGAAUGAACUCUUAGAUUAUGUGAGCAUAGGCUGUAACUGAGGUGCCAUUAAUCCUUUUGAGGACCAAGGAACAAAGGUUAGAUCUAAUGGGUACGGGCGAGCCCCACUCACGGUCCAUGGGUGACCACUUAGAGUGCUGUUGUGUCCAGCGUCGAGAGUUCGACACUUAAAUUGCCUACGCGGGUUGAGUACCUCCUAUGUCGUCGCAUAUAUUAAUGUCCUCGCGAAACAUUAAUGAUCAACAUGUUCAUAGACGCUUUACAUACCAAUUACAACACUAUAACUUUCAAAUGUUUUUAAUAUUCAUUUGACGCAAACUCGUAAUACAUGUAUUUACAAACUUUGAUAAUGUUUUCAACUUAUGUACAAGUAAGAGGACGUGUUGGUCCUGCUUACAAAUACUCUUUUAGGCUCGGCCCAUUCUCUCUCGUGCAAUGCACGAAUACUCUUGUGGGCUAGACUCACAGUUUUUCAUAUAUCAUGCCAAGAAAAUAAUUUUACUAUAUUUUCUCACCAACUUUGAAACCGGUUAUCAAAAAGAUUUAUUUUAAAUCUUUUCAAAACAAACUAUUAGCUCGCUCAACUUUAUGUUGACUUUUUCGCAUGUUCUUUCUCAUGUUGCAUUUUCAAAACUAUGGUACGGUUGGAAUUGGAGAACCCAUGGGAAUUCGAGUACUUAGCAGGCGUUUAAUUUCUAGAAGUCUUAGCUUAUUUGCUUCCGCUGUGCAAUGAAGAUACCGGUCCAGUCACGCCAGCUCUGAUAUUUCGGGGUGUGACAGAUUGGUAUCAGAGCUAUAGGUUUCAGCGAAUUAGGUUUCUGUAGAGAUACCUAGGCUUUAACCUCACUUUCCUUCUGGGGACUUAGAUUAUUAAGAUUCGAAUACAUACAGAACGCCUAAGACUCGAAUAUGGGUUACAACCGUUGCCGAAAACAAUGAGUUAACAAUUUUGGUUUUAAACGUACACAAGUGUUGUGUUGAAUACGCGGUACACGAAACGAUUACAUACAGUAAGCAAAACCUUGAGGGUUUUGAUAACAUGCGUCUAGGACCUUUGGAGAAUUUAUGUUAAAAUCCAUUAAAGGUCAUUACGUAGGGACUGCGACUAUUAUCUCGGGCAAAUGCAAUUAUAUUAUGUCGUCUAUGUUAUCUUACUUACCCGAGCAGGUAACCUACGUGGAACAAAACGCUAUUGCACAAGUAUACAUGAAACUUAAACUAUACGUCAGCGGACGUCGGAGUACAUCACACACGACUUUCAAGGCAAGGCCUUGGGGAAACCACAAAUGGUCACGACAACAACGAUGCUAAUCCCGUCAGCGGGAGAACUAUCGACUGCAAUGCGGUUAUUUGUCACGUUAUCCUGCAAACAACAUGAAUCACGCUAAGGUAUGCUCAAACGAUAUUUCACAGCAAUCGGUGUUUAGUCUGAUGAGACUUACAAUUAUUGGCACUGCAAAAGAAGUUACAUGUCUUCGCAUCCCCCUACCUAAUUAAUGGUGAUUACGCUAUGUUCGACAUUCCAUGGUAAUGUCACCUAACAACCGGCUAUCACACGAAAUUCCAGGUAAUGUCCUCAAAUUUCUUUUAUUGAAAUUCCGAUUUUUGCAUAUAGUGAGUAGAAUUUCACAUCUCUACUCCUCUUAAGGGUCAUUGUAUCACGACGAUUUUCUUUCGGGAUAGCCAACAAUCAGUUGCUUCAUUUCUUGACAAAUUCAUAUGUUACACAUGCAUUGUUUAUUGCACAUGUGGCUUCACUCGAAAUUGUUGCUUUAUCAAGUGCAAAUACCAUUUCGAUAUGUCUAAUUAUUUCAUUGUGAUCUAGAUGACCGACGUUAUUUUUAAGUGUUGACUCCUUGGUAUCGAGUCAACGGACUUCUUGGAAAACUCAUUUUCUUUUGAGUGGCAUACAUGGUUUUUCAUUGUGGCCAUGUCGAAACUUUCUUAUUGAUACAUGAAUUCAUUGUUGGAUUAUGUUUCAACCAAGUUCAAUUGAUUGAACUUGCUCGUUAUAUAUAUUCGAUUCAAGAUUCCAUAUGAUGGAUUGAAGCCAUCAUAUUCGAAAUAAUCCCAACAAGCACUUCAUUUGCUUUGAACCAUAACAGGCUUGUUUGGUCUUUGACUUCAUUGAAUCGUUUCUUUGAUCACGAUCACCUUGUGGUGACGUUUUCACAAAUUUGAAGCUUGCGCUAAUCUCGUUUACACGUCUCAUGCAUGGAUUUAAUUGUUAUUUCUUUACUUAUUUUAAAUCCACUUCGAUUUAUCAUAUUAAAGCAGUCUUAACCCAAUUGUGUGUUAAGACAAUGGUACACAAAUUCAUAUUAUAUUCCGGUGUACCUCUUAACGGUUCUUUCACCUUCGAGCAAACAUUUUGUGAUAUUCAUUGCUUUUCAUCUUCGCUCGAAAACAUUGUUUAUUUGUUUCGUUUUCAAUUGAAAAUCCUAUGAGAUUUGUUGGAACGAGCAUUCAAAUUUACUUCGUUGAGCCUUCAAUUGAUUUCAAAGACGGUGAUAUUUGUUUGAUCACCGCUAUUAUUGAAUUAUUUCAAUCACUACAACACCUUGUGGUAUAAACUUGUAGCUUGGGCUAAUCAUCAUCGAGCGUUUCAUGCAAAACACAGGUGAUGCUUGUUCGAUCACCUCUAUUAUUGAAUUGUUUCAUUCACUACGACACCUUGUGGCGUCGGUAUGAACUUGAAGCUUGUGCUAAUCACGACCAGCCCUCUCAUGAGAAACUAUAUAUGUUUUCGUUUGACACAUCAUUUAAGUAGUCUUAAUGCAACUAUGUAUUAAGACGAUGAUACACCAGGUUCGGUUGUAUUUCAUUUCGGUGUAUCCUUGCAACCCAACAAUGUCAACAUGUUAAUUUUAUUCAUUUAAUGGUUCGAUAGUUCACAAAUCAUUUUUAUGAUUCUAUUUAUUCGAGCUUGUUAAAUCCGAGUUUCAUUCAUACAACAACCAACGCAAGUUUCCGUUGGUAGUGAAUUCUAUUGUUUCAAAAUUGAUUUGCAUAUUGUGAACGUUCAUUUGGAAUUCUCUUGGUCGAAAUCCCUCCUUUGUUGAACCCUGUAAACUUGGUCGCAUUGGUGAUAGUAUCACUACGUUGCGUUCACUUGACAUCGAUUUCUGGAACAAACUCAGCUGAACUGUUGGGUUCUUAUUGAUGCAAAAUGUCUUUACACCCACGUAAUCCGAAUAAGUCUUGAUUCGAUUACGCGGUCAUUCACUUUGGUAUUAUUCGGACUUACCUAGGAACGACACAACUCUGAGGAGAUAACAUAGACUAAAUUUCGAGGACGAAAUUUCUGUAACAGGGGGAGAAUGUGACAACCGGUAAUUAACGGCUUCUAUUUACGCGAUUAACAAACAUUUAAGUCGAUAAUAAAUAGUGUUUAAGGCACGAAUUAACUUAAUUAGGCUCUCGGUAUGCCUAGGAACGCUUAUCCGACGUUACAAUACGCGUAUGACGAUUUUCAGAAGAUCUGCGGCACAAUAUACGAUAACUAAUUGACACCGAACGAAAUACUGACAACGCCGACCAAUACGAAUUUUAUACGCAUAAUUAAAACAUAUGAAGUUGGUUUGGCGAAAUUUUCAUGCUCUUGAACGACACAAAACGCGUAUGCGAACGAAAAACGCGAUAGUAGGGACGCACCAAUAACGAAAUGGAACACCGGACGCGAGUUACGUCUCGACAUUAAUAUAUUAUGAUAUAUAUGAUUCGCUUUCGAACUUUUAAACUCACGGUUGAAACCGUAGCGAAAAAAAAAAAAAAGAAAACAACUAGAUGCAACGACCGUCGUGAAAUACGCGAUUCUUUUUUUUCGUAACCGACAAAUCCAGGCUAUCAUUCGUACAAACCCGAAUCUCACACACAUUGUGAUCUCACGAUUUAGACUAAAUUUAUAUAGGCUAGGUCGUUCCAUGCCAUACAAAAGUCCAUUUUUUUUUUUCAUUUGAAGUUAGUAGAUACACAACUGAGUUUGAGAAACUUGCGGGCACGCAAUAUUUGAUUCAACCGAACAAACAUGAACGUUGGUGAUAUUUAACAAAAUACUAGGAAGCGUUUAACAAAAUAUUUGUAUGCAUAAUAUAUAUAAUUAUAUGCAUUUAAAUAUGGUUUUGGGAGUAUAUAUAUACAUGCAUAUGGAUUAUAUAUUAAUGAUUACUAAAGAAAAUGUGAAACAAAGAAAACCAAACAAAUUCUCCAACAUGUGUUCGUUGGAGUUAAAAUUGAAAAAAAAGUUAAAUAAAGUAAAUUAAUUAAUUAAUAUAAGAAAAUGGAACAAAAGAAAAGAUAUGUAGUGUUUGAAAGUAAAAAAAAAAAAAAAAAGAAAAGCAUACUGCUUCAAAUCUUUACCCAUACCGAUUACCAUAUCUUUCUAAAGUUUUCUUUUCGUGUACGCAUGCUAGUAUGGCUCCAUUUACCAACUUGUUUGAUUAAAUGACCCUUGGUUACAUAUAUGAGGUUACUAGCCUCACUUCAAUCAAGACCUUAUCAUAACUUUGAAAACUCAUAUCAAAAUACACGCACAAACAUCUGCUUUAUCUUUCCCUCCCAUGUCUCUUCUUCCUCAAGACAUUAUUCCCAUUCCUUCUCCUUUUAAACCUCUGCAAACAAAAUCAAAUAUACACACAAAACAUGGAGGGUCAUCUCUUCAUAAACAAAAUUCCACCACACACCUCUCAACACCUUCACAGGCGACGGAUGAGGACGCGCCGGUGGCGGUGAAACAGAGCGACGACACAGCCCCCCCCCCUUCGUUCAUUAAUGGCGACGAACCGGUGACGGGUAUGGAACCCGUUUUCCGGCGAUGUACAACUCGGGUAGAGAGACGGAGAGAUCGAGAGGAGAAAGAGACAGGAUGGCGGGUAUUUUUGGACGGCGACAGCACCGCCGUACACGGCGGCGACUCGGUUACCCUUUACCGACGAGUGGUUCUGCUUGAGUUUCGGGUUCUGGUCAAGUUCGGUCAACAAGUCAGCGGGUACGAUCAACACAAGUCAACCGGACAAGCUCAGUCGACCGUCGAGUCAACUGGUCAAAGCCAACCAACCCGGUCAACUCAUUAGGUUCGGGUCAACUCGGUCAAACCGAGUUGACUCGUUCAACACUCAGUCAACUCAGUUCAGACUUGGUUCGGUUCACGUCAGUUAUGUUUGGGUUCACGUCGGGUCAGAUUCGGUUUCGGGCCUCAGUCAAAACAUGUCAGCAAAAGUCAAUCGGUCAAAGAAGGUCAACACAGUCAACACUCGGUCAACUGUCGGGUCAAAGACGGUCAACCCCAGACCGGUAAAGUUUAAACGAAGCAAGUUGUUAUUGCGUUAUUUUUAUAUAGUUAAAGUUAUACGCGACCGAGCCCGACCGAUACCUUUAGCGAUUAUAUACGUUUUAUUCUUGGCGCUUUUUGGCAAAACUAUAUAUAUUCGAUAACCUUGCGCCGAACUAUUGUUGAAUUGUUGAUUGAAUUUUGAAAUUAAUCGACACUUUAAUGUCGGGUCAUUCCAAAAAUAGAGGAAACUCUGCUCGAAUCUCGUUAAAAAUCCGAAAUACCAAACAUAUCUAUAUUGUAUAAGCGACGCCUGUCGAAGUAUUUUCGCUAAAUAAAUAUAAAGUAUAUCUAUACUUUUGGCGACGUUUUACGAAUUACAAAAAAAAAAAAAAGGUUAUAACGUCUCGACAAAACACGAGCUACUAGUUUACGAAAUCCGUAUACUUUUAUAAAAUAAGUAUAAUUAUUUAUGUUUAUUUUAAACGUCUUUACUCGAAGUAUGAAACCUUGCCAUAAGAUUCAUAACAAACGAUAUCAUUAACCGACUCGAUUCGAUAACAACGAGCUAUAUAUAUAAUUUACGCUUUUUAUUCGCGACGACUAACACGAUUUCGUAAGUAUAUUUGAAUAACCAUAGAGUGGUUAUUUCAAAUCUAGACGAUAACAUUUCCUUGGAGUCAUUUUAUUAACGGUUCGGUAGAGCUCGGACACGUAGUUUAGCUACGUUUAAUUUAGAAAACUCAUAAGUAUUCCUUCGUAGGAAUGUCAUAGGUGCACGCUAGCUAAUUCAUGUUCUUGGAACGACACUACGGAAUCACGCUAGGCGAUGAUUGCACAUGGAAGUCCAGGUUGCAUUUUCAAAACUAUGGUACGGUUGGAAUUGGAGAACCCAUGGGAAUUCGAGUACUUAGCAGGCGUUUAAUUUCUAGAAGUCUUAGCUUAUUUGCUUCCGCUGUGCAAUGAAGAUACCGGUCCAGUCACGCCAGCUCUGAUAUUUCGGGGUGUGACAUCGGGUUGAUGUUCCCUUCGACCCAGGUGGUUUCGGUCCAAUGACUAAACUCGAGGACGAGUUUUUUCGAAGAGGAGGAGUAUGAUGCAGGAGCAUCUUGAGUCAAACCCAAAUAAUUUAUAAUCUUUUAUUAUUUGAAUUUUAAUUUUUUUUAUUUAGUUUCCUAUUUUGUGGGGCUAGUUUAUCUAUUUUAUUCAUUACAAAUUAGGAGCUAGGGUUUAUUAUUUAGUGAGUUUUUGGUUGAUUAUUAAUAUAAAGAACUUUGUUCUUGGAACCUUGUGGUUCAAUUUAUUGUCUUUGAUUAACUAAGUGUUCUUGAGCCAUUUGAUUGCACGCGAAGCUGCAUCAGUUUGUGGUUAGGGUUUUGAGAACAGAUGAAGUGGUUGUUACAGAACAUUAUCUAUUUGUUUUAUUUAUUAAAUAUUUUAAAUAAGUGAGUAAAAUUACUAACUUACCCUCAAGUGCAAUGCACAUGCCAUAAUUAACUAAAAAAUUUAACUAAGUUAGUGUUAAAGGACUUAAAGGACUUAAAGUGUAUUGAGUUUCUCAAAUAAAGGAUUGUGACUGUAAUUAUUAAAGUUAAAGGCUAUCCGUUGCAACGCAGUAUAAACAUAAAGGACGAAAAGUGUAAUUUACCCUUAAAGUUAACAGAUUUGUUAACAUAAUUGACGCCGGGGGGUAAAUGUGCGACAUAACACCAACGUUGGGGGGUAAAAUUGCAAUUAUUUCGUUAGAGGGGGUCAGAGUGCCAAUUGACCUAAACCCCGGGGGUAAAAUUGCAGUUUACUCU